rnacentral:rRNA from 1 species
CAGUAGCCCGGGAAUACAGAGGGUGCGAGCGUUAAUAGGAUUUACUGGGCGUAAAGCGUGCGUAGGCGGCUUCUUAAGUCGGAUGUGAAAUCCCUGAGCUUAACUUAGGAAUUGCAUUCGAUACUGGGAAGCUAGAGUAUGGGAGAGGAUGGUAGAAUUCCAGGUGUAGCGGUGAAAUGCGUAGAGAUCUGGAGGAAUACCGAUGGCGAAGGCAGCCAUCUGGCCUAAUACUGACGCUGAGGUACGAAAGCAUGGGGAGCAAACAGGAUUAGAUACCCCGUAGUCCCUGUCUCUUAUACAU